GAUGAACGCUGGCGGCGUGCUUAACACAUGCAAGUCGAACGAAGCACUUUAUUUGAUUUCCUUCGGGACUGAUUAUUUUGUGACUGAGUGGCGGACGGGUGAGUAACGCGUGGGUAACCUGCCUUGUACAGGGGGAUAACAGUUGGAAACGGCUGCUAAUACCGCAUAAGCGCACGGCAUCGCAUGAUGCAGUGUGAAAAACUCCGGUGGUAUAAGAUGGACCCGCGUUGGAUUAGCUAGUUGGUGAGGUAACGGCCCACCAAGGCGACGAUCCAUAGCCGACCUGAGAGGGUGACCGGCCACAUGGGGACUGAGACACGGCCCAAACUCCUACGGGAGGCAGCAGUGGGGAAUAUUGCACAAUGGGCGAAAGCCUGAUGCAGCGACGCCGCGUGAGCGAAGAAGUAUUUCGGUAUGUAAAGCUCUAUCAGCAGGGAAGAUAAUGACGGUACCUGACUAAGAAGCACCGGCUAAAUACGUG
rnacentral:rRNA from 1 species